UCCGCUCGGACCUCUCCCUCCGCCGCCCGCAGGGGGCGCUGCCGCCCGCUCGCCCUCAGGGCGGCGCGGGGCCGGGCCGGGGCGGGUCGGGGAGAGGCGGCGCAGCCGCGCACACGGCAGCAGCGGUCGGCUCUGCUGGGUUUCCUUCCAGAUAGAUCCUGCUUCUUCAAAGUUUCCAAUUGCUGCCUGGAUUGAAGCACUGUGUCUCUGAAAGCAGAUCUGACAGCUCUCCUCCGUUCAGAGGCUUUAACUUAACUGCGAUCAACAGAUGAGAACUAGUCGGUCCGUGACUUUGUUUCACACAUAACUACGGCACUCAGUCAGGAAGCACUUUGCCAGACAUAAUACAGAGCAAUGUGUGUGUCUUUCUCUUGGUCCUAAUGCCCUCGCUGUGCUUGUCCUAUCAAAUCAAAACUUUGCAAAAGCCGUAAGAGGUGAAAUACAAGAAAAAAAACAUUGUAUUAGAAAAGAAAUCAGGGCACACCAUCGAUUGCUGUGCUUCUGAGUAGCUGUAUUAGACUGAGAAUGCUUGGAGCGAGAAGCAAGAAUUUUAUAAACUGAAUAAAAGAUGGAGUGCA